UACGUAGGGUGCGAGCGUUAAUCGGAAUUACUGGGCGUAAAGCGUGCGCAGGCGGUGAUGUAAGACAGGUGUGAAAUCCCCGGGCUUAACCUGGGAACUGCAUUUGUGACUGCAUCGCUGGAGUACGGCAGAGGGGGAUGGAAUUCCGCGUGUAGCAGUGAAAUGCGUAGAUAUGUGGAGGAACACCGAUGGCGAAGGCAGCCCCCUGGGCUAGUACUGACGCUCAUGCACAAAAGCGUGGGGAGCAAACAGG
rnacentral:rRNA from 1 species